rnacentral:rRNA from 1 species
UGCGGAGGGAUCAUUACCGAGUUUACAACUCCCAAACCCAAUGUGAACGUUACCAAACUGUUGCCUCGGCGGGGUCACGCCCCGGGUGCGUCGCAGCCCCGGAACCAGGCGCCCGCCGGAGGAACCAACCAAACUCUUUCUGUAGUCCCCUCGCGGACGUAUUUCUUUACAGCUCUGAGCAAAAAUUCAAAAUGAAUCAAAACUUUCAACAACGGAUCUCUUGGUUCUGGCAUCGAUGAAGAACGCAGCGAAAUGCGAUAAGUAAUGUGAAUUGCAGAAUUCAGUGAAUCAUCGAAUCUUUGAACGCACAUUGCGCCCGCCAGUAUUCUGGCGGGCAUGCCUGUCCGAGCGUCAUUUCAACCCUCGAACCCCUCCGGGGGAUCGGCGUUGGGGAUCGGGACCCCUCACACGGGUGCCGGCCCCUAAAUACAGUGGCGGUCUCGCCGCAGCCUCUCCUGCGCAGUAGUUUGCGCAACUCGCACCGGGAGCGCGGCGCGUCCACGUCCGUAAAACACCCAACUUUCUGAAAUGUUGACCUCGGAUCAGGUAGGAAUACCCGCUGAACUUAAGCAUAUCAAUAAGCGGAGGA